ACAGAGGUCUCGAGCGUUGUUCGGAUUCAUUGGGCGUAAAGGGUGCGUAGGUGGCGUGGUAAGUCUGGUGUGAAAUCCCGGGGCUCAACCCCGGAACUGCACUGGAUACUGCCAUGCUUGAGUACUGGAGAGGAGAUUGGAAUUUACGGUGUAGCAGUGAAAUGCGUAGAUAUCGUAAGGAAGACCAGUGGCGAAGGCGAAUCUCUGGACAGUUACUGACACUGAGGCACGAAGGCCAGGGGAGCAAACGGGA
rnacentral:rRNA from 1 species